GACAGAGGGUGCAAACGUUGUUCGGAAUUACUGGGCGUAAAGCGAGUGUAGGCGGUCUCGUAAGUCGGGUGUGAAAGCCCUGGGCUCAACCCAGGAAGUGCACUCGAAACUGCGAGGCUAGAGUACUGGAGAGGUUGGUGGAAUUCUCGGUGUAGAGGUGAAAUUCGUAGAUAUUAGGAAGAACACCAGUGGCGAAGGCGGCCCACUGGAUCGGUACUGACGCUGAGGUGCGAAAGCGUGGGGAGCAAACAGG
rnacentral:rRNA from 1 species